GGAAGAGCUGCAGAUGUCAUGGGAACUGAGAUUGCUAAGAACUUUCCUUACACUAGAAGACAAGUUGUCUUUUGCAGGAGCCUCUGCUGGGAUACAAGAGAAGCCCUUCAGCAUCCCCUUCAUCCAAAGCCAGAGAUCUCUCCCUUAUUGAUUGAACAUCCUUCAGUUCUUUCCCUGUGUAGAACUGAAUGUCUAUCUCCUACUGAAAUUUUAUAUACACAAGGUCAGAAGAGGCUCCUUAAAGCUGAGAGCAAUGUAGCACCAUAAAUCCCAGGACAUGAAACAGGCCCUUUUGAGCUACAUGAAAGGUUAUCCAAGGAGAAUAAGGUCUGAAAUAGCCACAGAAGCAGUCUGUCACACAAUCCAUUCAACUCCCAGAAGAUCUGACAGCUCAGACAUCCUGCUCCUCCUGCAUGAAAGGCAAAGUACCUCUACUCACCAUGGCAUUGCUGAUGGUCUACCUCAUGGUUCCAUAUAUCUUAAUUAGAGGAGAACCCUGGAAAAAACUCAUAAUCUACCUCCCACUGGUGCUCCUGAUUGCUAGGCUUGCCCAAAGUUGCUCAAUAGCUUGUCUGCAACAGGGCUUCAGGACAGUAGCAGCUCCUCUACUAGAUGAGCAGAGAUCAAAUGACCAAGGCAGCACAGGGCUUCACAGCUCUGGAUUCUACCCUAGUGAGAGACAGGGCUCUAGUCUGGGAAAUAUGUAUUUUAGUAGAAACUAUUCCAGUCUCUCAGAGCACUUUCUGUUCCUCUUCCAAGAGGUGUGUGUUUUAUUACACAGUCACUGGCCAGUGCAGGCUACCAUUUCCUUCAUAGCUCAGAAAUUCUGUAGCCAAACCUAAGUCAUAUAAAACAAGAACUGCUGUUAAAGGAAAAGGACAUCAUGAAUUAAAAAACAAUGAAGUGUCUAUGGAAUGGCUUAGAAGUAGAAAAGCAAUAAUGCAAAUGAUAUAAUAUAAUCCCCAAAAAUUAUUUUAGAAAAUUGAAACAAGCUACAUGGCCAUGUGCUUCAGAGACUAGGGGUUUGUGUUAGAGCACAACAUGUAUUAGUCACGCAUUUUCUCUCAGGUUGUUCAUCUUAAACUUGUAAAAUAAUUGUACUUUAGGCAGGGCUACACCAUAUUAUCCAGUUCUAUUUUGGUCCAACUAGUGUAAGUAUGGUAGUUUGGUUUUGUGAUAAGUUCAGUUCUUUAUCCAGAUUCUUGAUUUCCUGUUCUGUGGAUGCAAAUGGCCAGUCAGAACAAUUAAUAAUCAACUAAAAUACAUAAAAUUGAUCACCUCACUACUUAUUUCUAAUGUGAGCUACAGUCAAAGGCAAAGACCUUUGAUGCUUCUUCUAGCCCAUCCCUUUCUGUAAGGACAGUACACCUGUUUUAAAUUUGGUCAGUGAACUCAAUUCUUACACAGGUCCCUUUUCAUAUGGAAGUUUGCAAUACAAUCAAGAGAUGUUGGAGGACACUCAUUUACCAGUCUAUUUUUACUUCACAAUGACCAGUUAGGUCUAGUCUUGAAGCAGUUUGCAGAACUUUCUUUCCCACACUUGGCAGCAGAAGCAGAAUUAGAUGUUCAAAGCAAUUCUCAACUGCAUAGUAUGAGGCAAGCCAAAGUAACAAGAGACAUUGCUCUAGACAGAAAAAACUCACUUGAGAAAAAUGGAAAGAAAUUAUUAAUGACCUGAAAAAAAUGGGGAAUAGAAGAAAAUAAGAGAUUAGAGCAGAGAUGCAUUAAACAAAAUCAAAUUUUAACAGUGAAACAAAUAAUUGUCUUUUUAAAAAGAUAAAUAGAAUUGAAAAAAACACAAGGCUCUACUGACUUUCAGAAAGAGAACACCAUUCUCUGGUAGAGGGAAUAGCAUUAAUAAGAUCACCAUGGCCCUAUGUGCAAAGUUAGCUGCUGAG